AUGGGGUUUUGGGUUGAGUCUCAGUCACUGUGCCCUGUUUUCGGUGGUGGAACCAAGCUCACUGUCCUAGGUCAGCCCAAGUCCACUCCCACACUCACAGUAUUUCCACCUUCAACUGAGGAGCUCCAGGGAAACAAAGCCACACUGGUGUGUCUGAUUUCUGAUUUCUACCCGAGUGAUGUGGAAGUGGCCUGGAAGGCAAAUGGUGCACCUAUCUCCCAGGGUGUGGACACUGCAAAUCCCACCAAACAGGGCAACAAAUACAUCGCCAGCAGCUUCUUACGUUUGACAGCAGAACAGUGGAGAUCUCGCAACAGUUUUACCUGCCAAGUUACACAUGAAGGGAACACUGUGGAGAAGAGUCUGUCUCCUGCAGAAUGUGUCUAGGAGCCCAGGUUUCUCCUUAGCCUGGGAACCCUGCAGCUGUAGACCCAGAGCAGGGUCUCUUCUCUCUACUAGCUACCUUAUCCCUUCUCCCUUGCCCACUGAAUAUUAAAUAAAAUGUCAUUAGCUGAUCAAAA